rnacentral:rRNA from 1 species
CACGUAGGGUGCGAGCGUUGUCCGGAAUUAUUGGGCGUAAAGAGCUCGUAGGCGGCUUGUCGCGUCGACCGUGAAAACUUGGGGCUCAACCCCAAGCCUGCGGUCGAUACGGGCAGGCUAGAGUUCGGUAGGGGAGACUGGAAUUCCUGGUGUAGCGGUGAAAUGCGUAGAGAUCGGGAGGAACAUCAGUUGCGAAGGCGGCUCUCUGGACCAGCACUGACACUGAGGCACGAAAGCGUGGGGAGCAAACAGG